rnacentral:rRNA from 1 species
ACGGGAGGCAGCAGUGGGGAAUAUUGCACACUGGGGGAAACCCUGAUGCAGCGACGCCGCGUGCGUGAAGAAGUAUUUCGGUAUGUAAAGCUCUAUCAGCAGGGAAGAAAAUGACGGUACCUGACUAAGAAGCCCCGGCUAACUACGUGCCAGCAGCCGCGGUAAUACGUAGGGGGCAAGCGUUAUCCGGAUUUACUGGGUGUAAAGGGAGCGUAGACGGCUUUGCAAGUCUGAUGUGAAAGCCCGGGGCUCAACCCCGGCACUGCACUGGAAACUGUAGAGCUAGAGUGCAGGAGAGGUAAGUGGAAUUCCUAGUGUAGCGGUGAAACGCGUAGAUAUUAGGAGGAACACCAGUGGCGAAGGCGGCUUACUGGACUGUAAAUGACGUUGAGGCUCGAAAGCGUGGGGAGCAAACAGGAUUAGAUACCCUGGUA